AUUGAAUGCUGGCGGCAUGCCUUACACAUGCAAGUCGAACGGCAGCACGGGAGCAAUCCUGGUGGCGAGUGGCGAACGGGUGAGUAAUAUAUCGGAACGUGCCCAGUCGUGGGGGAUAACGCAGCGAAAGCUGUGCUAAUACCGCAUACGAUCUACGGAUGAAAGCGGGGGAUCGCAAGACCUCGCGCGAUUGGAGCGGCCGAUAUCAGAUUAGCUAGUUGGUGAGGUAAAGGCUCACCAUGGCGACGAUCUGUAGCUGGUCUGAGAGGACGACCAGCCACACUGGAACUGAGACACGGUCCAGACUCCUACGGGAGGCAGCAGUGGGGAAUUUUGGACAAUGGGCGAAAGCCUGAUCCAGCAAUGCCGCGUGCAGGAUGAAGGCCUUCGGGUUGUAAACUGCUUUUGUACGGAACGAAACGGUGAGCUCUAAUACAGUUUGCUAAUGACGGUACCGUAAGAAUAAGCACCGGCUAACUACGUGCCAGCAGCCGCCGUAA
rnacentral:rRNA from 1 species